UGAAUCGUCUAGUAGAAUGCUUCUUGCAUUGAGUCUGGUGUACGCGCCCUCUUAGCGCAACGCGUAAUUUCCCUAACGCCUACUUUUCUCGAACAUGUGCAAUUUUGUGUAUCAUUUGUCAUUUGUUUUGUGAGUGUUGUACAAGAAAGUUGGUUUUUUCCUGCGCGUCUUUUAUAAAACAAUAAGAGGUAAGUUGUUAAUAUUAUUAAACUACUAUUCUAAUCUGAUUUAAAUUAAAAAAUAUAUUUGUAUUUGUAUUUAUAUUUACAGUUUUGAGGACCACGAAAGAGCUACGUUGGAUGAUAAAAAUAGAAACUACAAGGCAUUGUUCAGGGCGAAGAAUAUUGAAAACGGCGAAAUAAAUUAAUUUUUUCUUUUAGCUAUUAUAUUAUUUAGUUAUAAGUAAAACUGUUUAGAUAAUAUUAUAUAUAAAUUUAAGUACUCAUUGUAUUAGUUUUAAUAAAUUUAAUUUCAAGUAUAAUAAACAUUUUAUUUACUGCAUAUAUUUUUGAGCGUAUUUUUAUUUUGCAUAUUCCGAACUACGCACUAGAAUCUAAGCACAGAUUUUCGGCAAGAGCUGCACCGCAUAUUUUCUACAAGAAACGUCGAGUACAAAUUCUGCCAGCGCAGCCGAGGGAAAUUUAAAUUUCCCUUUGGCAAGAAUUUAUACUCGACGAGUCUUGUAGAUAAUCAGUUCCGCAUAUACACAAGACGGGACUGGAAGAAAACUUGUAUAUUGUCUACUAAUAAAACUCAAUUGGGUUUCCAUUGGCACGAACCGAGAAAUAUGGACAACGGUAAAAUUCUCAAUAUGGCCGCUCUGAAAUGUCAGCUGUUCAAAUGUAAACAAAAGUUGGCGCACAAUUUAAAAACUGUACGCGAAUAAUAUAACAACAAAGAUUUGGAUUUGUUUCCUCUCGUUGUGUGCGCGACUACUAAAAUAUAUCGCUAUACGCUCUUAUUUUAAGUGAGCAUUUUGUAUUCAAUAAAAUCUUGACAUCGCAAGGCACAGACAAUCACAAUUUAGUUUGCAAUUUUAUUAUUUAUUAUUUAUUUAUUAUUUAUCUGUUAGUUUUUAUGGAAAUCAAUCAUCUCAUCGCCUUCCGUACAAUUCUUUAAAUGUUUAAAUGUUUUAUUCAUACAAAUUAUAGGUCUAUUUCACGAAUCUCCCUGGACUUUCAAUUGCAAUUUGUUUGGCUCAGCUCGACCUUUGAAAUUAUUCCUACUUAAAAUGUGGAAAACUUUGAGGCCGACAUAUUGAGGUGUUUGCUGCUUUUUAAACGAGUCCGCAAAUUUGUCAUAUUCGCCCUGCCUGCCAGUAAUUAUGUAUUAUAAUUGAUUUAUUGAUUAUAAUAGUAAAAUUGUUUGACUUACCAGCUGAGAUUGACAUCAAAUGUUCUUUACAUUUGAGGUGGCGGCAAGUUCUCGUCAUCGGAAUCCAAGUUUACCUAUAAAAAUAAAAUAAUUAUGUAUAUGAUUUAUUUGCCACGGUCGAAUUGCUGACGGGUCAUCGUUUAGCGUUUGGACGCUGGCAGUGGCCCAGUGGUAGUCGCCCUGGAUGCUUCGAGGCUCCCAAAAUGGCCUCGCCGUGAAUUGCCGGCCAGCAUGGAGUCUGCUUGGCCAUCGUCUAGGGUGCGAGCAGUGGUUUGGGCAGCGGAUGGAGCAUCUGACUACUGGAGUACGCAGCCGUCGCCGAGUCUGAAAAAUGGAAUCUCGCAAUGAGGCGACAGCAGGUAUACUUACAAUGCUGGCAAUGGCGGCCCAUCCUAAGAUUAGGAGGUUUGCUGCCGCCACUGCUGGGCUUUGUGUAUUUCGCUGGCGUCUCUGCUUGCAUCUGGACUUUUUCUCGGCUAUGUGCGCUGUAUGCGAUGCCUCAGCAGGCGGAUCUUCAUCGUCCAGCAGCCACUCCAAGCGCCUGCUCACCAGCUCCAGGCCGUUUUCAAGCGUCUCGUUUGCAGUUGCCGGCACCAAAAAUUAACGUGACACCUUGUGAUGGGUGGCUGCCCUCUGAUGAUAUCCAGAGCAUCACAUCUGGCGAGGAGGCCAUCUCUCAAGCGUUUUCGAAGCGUAUUUAUGGUCGAUUCGCAGAAACGUUCUGGCAGCUUUCUGCGCAGAAUUUGCUGCUCCUCCGCUGUGAUGUCCGGCAGUACCAGUUUUUGUAUUUGCACUGGCUGGCCACGUAUGUGAUCCAUAAUCUGCUGUCUGUAUAUCAGUUUGUCGCCGCCGCUGUGCAAGAUCGCGUUCUCGUUCCUCGUUCACUUUAGCUUCAUUAUACUCCUCUUGUAUGCGAAUCAGUGUUGGUAAUAAAGGCCGAAUCUGUUUUCUCAAAAUUUGCUGAUUGUUUCUUUGGUUUGAUUCAGCACGCAGGUGCUCGCCUUGCAUCUGCCGCAAGUGUGUUGCAUUUGUUGUAUUUGCAUUUAGCGCUGCGCUCAACGGCCUUAUGAAUUUGUCUAGCUGCUCCGUAUAUCUGGGCCUUUGCAGGCGUUGCACGACAAGUGGUUCUCUAACCAGCUUUGUCGCUUCUGGGUUUGGAUGUGCAGCCAGAGAAUUUGCAAAUCGUUCGCUGGCCACAUGGAACGCGCCAUCAAUUGUACACAGCUGCCGCUGCAAGCGAUUGAUUUGGAAAUUUGAGGUGAGAGCGCCCCAGAUGGACAGAGCAUACUUCCAUAUUGGCAUGAUGAGCUGCUUAACAAUCAUCAUUUUGCAGUCUUUUGCCAAUUUGCUGUUACGCCCAAUAAGCCAGCCCAAUUUAAUAGCUCUUGCUUUGGAUUUGACGCAUAAUCUUGUCCCGUGUGUGGCCAGCGUUAAUUUGCAGUCAAGUGUCACUCUCAGGUCACGCAGCAUGUAUAUGACAUGCGCUGUCUUUGUCGCGUUGAUCUUGAAGCACCAUUUCUUAGACCAUUUUACGAAAUGGUGCAGGUACUGUUGGGUCUCGUUUAUCGCAUUGGCCGGAUGAUCAGCGGAGCACAUGAUGACUGUGUCAUCCGCAUAUGUUGACAACAGCAUCGACCUUUCGUUUGGCUCGAGAUGGCGACGAUUUUGCGUGAGUAGUGGCAGCGGCAUGUCAGAGGAGUAAAUUGUAUAUAAAAUUGGGCCCAAGACGCUGCCCUGUAGGACACCAGCUGAUAUGCAGCCGACUCUGGAUGUUACUCC